rnacentral:rRNA from 1 species
GAUACUCCCCUAGUAGCGGCGAGCGAACGGGGAUCAGCCAAGCCUUGAGAGUGACCAGAAUGUGCUGGAAAGCACAGCCAUAGCGGGUGACAGCCCCGUAUGGGAAGCUCGAUGGGAUGUAUUAAGUAGGGCGGGACACGUGAAAUCCUGUCUGAACAUGGGGGGACCAUCCUCCAAGGCUAAAUACUCCUGACUGACCGAUAGUGAACCAGUACCGUGAGGGAAAGGCGAAAAGAACCCCGGUGAGGGGAGUGAAAUAGAUCCUGAAACCGCGUACGUACAAGCAGUAGGAGCCUCUUUUAUGGGGUGACUGCGUACCUUUUGUAUAAUGGGUCAGCGAGUUAUUGUUAGUAGCAAGGUUAACCGUUUAGGGGAGCCGUAGG